rnacentral:rRNA from 1 species
GAUGAACGCUCGCGAUAGGCUUAACACAUGCCAGUCGAGGGGCAGCAUGGUCUUAGCUUGCUAAGACUGAUGGCGACCGGCGCACGGGUGCGUAACGCGUAUGCAACUUGCCUCACAGAGGGGGAUAACCCGUCGAAAGACGGACUAAUACCGCGUACACUCCAUCUUGGGCAUCCAAGGUAGAGGAAAUGAAAUUCGCUGUGAGAUAGGCAUGCGUCCCAUUAGCUAGUUGGUGAGGUAACGGCUCACCAAGGCGACGAUGGGUAGGGGAACUGAGAGGUUGAACCCCCACACUGGUACUGAGACACGGACCAGACUCCUACGGGAGGCAGCAGUGAGGAAUAUUGGUCAAUGGGCGAGAGCCUGAACCAGCCAAGUCGCGUGAAGGAUGACUGUCUUAUGGAUUGUAAACUUCUUUUAGACGGGAAUAACAAGAGUCACGUGUGACUCCCUGCAUGUACCGUAUGAAUAAGCAUCGGCUAACUCCGUG